AUUUAAUUUACAUUAUUAAUGAUUAAUUCUUUUGUUACGUGUUACGUGGUCCAAGAUUCAUAUCACAUGCCCUAGCAUGUGCGGAUGGAUAAUAAAUAUAAUUAAUCAUCAAUGCUAGCCGGGGCAUAUAGAGGCAAAUCAUUCUUAAAAAUUGUAUAAAAAAAGAGAUUGCUCUACCAAAAUUCUGACUCGUGCACUUUUAGGAACUUGAAUUGUUCGUAUUUUUUUCCUUAUGGGAGUUGAAAUUGCUUUCUACUCAACCAAUAUCUUAGUGUGUUGGUGUGGCUACAUGAUAUGUUUUGCUUUUGUCUGGUUGCUCAUGUUUAUAUAUCACGCGUUAUAUGUAUAUAUACAUACACACACACAUAUAUAUAUAUAUAUAUCUCCGAGAUUCCUAUAGGACAACCGACAUCUAACAAUUGCCUUCACGCGUGCAGUGUUUUUAAAGCUAAUUAAGCUUCUUUUAUUUGCUCUCCUUCCUCAUUACCCUUCCCAAUUCGUUGCUGUUUGCAUCGCCCAUGAUCAGUUUUUCUUUAACAAUUUCCUGACGAUCUCUUUUUCUGUCUUAAUUUUAACCGUCUCCGCGGCCGGCCCCGAUCUAUUGUACAACUCCACUCCAGAGAGAAGCCAUUGGAAUGUUCCUCUGGUUUCCCCAGUGGCAGUGCUUCCAACUGCCCACUUCAUGAACGUAUCCACCAAGAAAACCACUGGCGGGCACGCAGCUCCUCUAGGUCAUCGAUGGAGAAGCAGCUGCUAAGAGACACCAGCUAGCAUAAAGUCCCUAGCUAGUAGCGAUAGGCACAGCCUAGCUCAAUCGGAGCUAGGGGAUGGCAUGCAUUUUUGGUGACACAACGUAUGAAUGGAUGAAGGCGAUGGAUGAGGAUGAAGGCGAGGAGCUAGGACAAGGAAGUCUCGCAUGCAUGCAUGCAGAGGCAGAGGCUCAUUGCAUUGAACGUCAUAGGUUUGGUGUGUGUUGUGGCAUAUUGUGUGGUUGGAUUGGAUGCAUGGGGGGAAGGGAACCAAGACGAUGGGAUUGGUGUGUUUUUUUCGGUUAUAAGGAGGUCCAUGGGCUUCGUACAUUGAAAUAGAAAUCCAAAAUAUCUAUUAAAGGGGCACGGGGGAGCUUCUCCUUUUUGCAAUUGAGAGCUGAUAUAUUACCAUUCAUUAGAUGAAAGAUCAGUGUAGGUGGGAGCUUGUCCUUUUGGUUUGAUCCUUGGCUUUCUGCUGGCCCAUUAGUAAACUACUGUGAACAGGGCUUUAAAUGUUUCCCUACUAUAGGGAAGCAGGCGUGUAUUAGCUCCGUUUUGGUCGAUGGUUGUUGGAAUUGGCCAAGAAGUACAGACCCUCAGGCCAGAAUUAUUCAUAGUCUCGCUGCUGAAGUGGAAUUUGCUACAUCUGCUGGUUAUGUCUCGUCCUCUAAUUAGGUUGGGCAGUAUACCACUCAUAGUGCGUGGCAAAGUCUGAGGAAAAAGGAGCCUAAGGUGCUACGGGAAGCAUCUAUUUGGUUUAAUGGGCACACCCCUAGAGCAUCAUUUAUAAGCUGGCUCUGUAUCCUUGAUAGAUUGAGCACUAAAGAUAGAUUGAGUAGGUGGAAAAUUGAGCUAGCAGCUGAGGAGUGUGAAUUUUGUUGUUCAUGCUUGGAAGCUCGUGAUCACUUGUUUUUCACUUGUCCCGUUACACAAGGAGUUUGGAGAAGCUUGUUAUUGCGGAUUCGUCUACGAAGACAGCAAGUGGAUUGACAUUCUGAGCUGGGCUGGAUAUCUUCUUUGAAGGGCCGAACGCUGGAUGUUAUUUGCCUGAAGGUUAUGUGGACUCAUUACAUUUAUUGGACAUGGAGGGAGCGCAAUAAAAGGAUCUACAGAAAGGAAGUUAUGCGUUGGUUUUACCUAAUGUUUCUUUUGUACAUGCUAGACUUUUGUGUUUUGCUGAUGGGAGCAUUAGGCAAUUUUGCUGUUAGGAGGGAGGUGGGUAUCGAACUUGGAAUCUCUUGGUCACCAAGCAAAAGGGUCGCUCCUUCGGCUGAAUGAUCAAAUUCGAGAGGCCCGUCCACCUGUGGAGCAAAUUCAGCAACAAGAGCGCAUCGAAGUGGAUGGAGCUGUGAAGCAAAGGGGCUCUCAAACCUGGCUUUCUGGAGCUGCAAUGGCCUUUGGCGGCAAAGGAGAGAUCGAGGAGGUAAGAGCGGAGAAGGUGACCUGGGAAGAUCCAAUUGUGGCCGAAGCGUUGGCCUGUAGAGCGGGUCUCCGACUAGCUAUGGCAUGUGAAGGAAGAGCGCCAGCUAUUCUGUCUGAUUGCCUUGAGCUAGUUCAGGUCCUGCAUGAAAGGAGUCGAUGGCUAGUGUCACUUAUUCCAGUCAAACCGGAUUUGGUCUCCUUGUUGUCUGUAAAUAGAGGCAAAAGUAGCAUUAUAUAUGUGAAUAAGAAUUAUGUAGCUGUGGCCCACAAACGUGCAAAAAA